rnacentral:tRNA from 1 species
GGCCGAGUGGUUAAUGGCAGCAGACUGUAAAUCUGCCCUCUUACGAGUACGCUGGUUCGAAUCCAGCC